AGAAGUUGUACGGACACAAG
rnacentral:miRNA from 1 species